rnacentral:rRNA from 1 species
CCUACGGGAGGCAGCAGUGGGGAAUAUUGGGCAAUGGGCGCAAGCCUGACCCAGCAACGCCGCGUGAAGGAAGAAGGCUUUCGGGUUGUAAACUUCUUUUCUCAGGGACGAAGCAAGUGACGGUACCUGAGGAAUAAGCCUCGGCUAACUACGUACCAGCAGCCGCGGUAAUACGUAGGUGGCAAGCGUUAUCCGGAUUUACUGGGUGUAAAGGGCGUGUAGGCGGGAAAGCAAGUCAGAUGUGAAAACCAUGGGCUCAACCUGUAGCUUGCAUUUGAAACUGGUUUUCUUGAGUACUGGGGAGGCAGACGGAAUUCCUAGUGUAGCGGGGAAAUGCGUAGAUAUUAGGAGGAACACCAGUGGCGAAGGCGGUCUGCUGGACAGCAACUGACGCUGAGGCGCGAAAGCGUGGGGAGCAAACAGGAUUAGAUACCCCAGUAGUC